UGAAGAAGAAGCCCAAGAUCAUGCAGCAGCAUCUUGAUUAUUGUUUCCCUGGUUUAUGGCUAUCCAAGAUAACUCCUCGAUCCUACAAAGCCAAUGAAUAAGACAUGUGUUCUUAUAGUCCGUAUACAUUGUGAAGGUUGUAAGGAUAGGUCAGGAAGAAGGUGCAGAAGGUUCAAGAAGGAAAAUGUUUGUCUGGCAAACUCUAUAUCUGAAAUGCAUAAAUUUGGAGCAAUCUAUAAUAUCAAAUGGUUCUCAUACUUUGGCACAUGAAUCCAAUGAUUUGGGUAAAAAAGAUAAAAAGAAGAAAGGA